rnacentral:rRNA from 1 species
GGGGAGGCAGCAGUGGGGAAUUUUGGACAAUGGGCGCAAGCCUGAUCCAGCAAUGCCGCGUGCAGGAUGAAGGCCUUCGGGUUGUAAACUGCUUUUGUACGGAGCGAAAAGGUUCUUCCUAAUACGGAGGGCCCAUGACGGUACCGUAAGAAUAAGCACCGGCUAACUACGUGCCAGCAGCCGCGGUAAUACGUAGGGUGCGAGCGUUAAUCGGAAUUACUGGGCGUAAAGCGUGCGCAGGCGGUUAUGUAAGACAGAUGUGAAAUCCCCGGGCUCAACCUGGGACCUGCAUUUGUGACUGCAUAGCUAGAGUACGGUAGAGGGGAAUGGAAUUCCGCGUGUAGCAGUGAAAUGUGUAGAUAUGCGGAGGAACACCGAUGGCGAAGGCAGUCCCCUGGACCUGUACUGACGCUCAUGCACGAAAGCGUGGGGAGCAAACAGGAUUAGAUACCCGGGUAGUCCG